rnacentral:rRNA from 1 species
AUACGUAGGGUGCGAGCGUUGUCCGGAAUUACUGGGCGUAAAGAGCUCGUAGGUGGUUUGUCGCGACGUCUGUGAAAUUCCGGGGCUUAACUCCGGGCGUGCAGGCGAUACGGGCAUAACUUGAGUACUGUAGGGGAGACUGGAAUUCCUGGUGUAGCGGUGAAAUGCGCAGAUAUCAGGAGGAACACCGGUGGCGAAGGCGGGUCUCUGGGCAGUAACUGACGCUGAGGAGCGAAAGCAUGGGUAGCGAACAGGAUUAGAUACCCUGGUAGUCCAUGCCGUAAACGGUGGGCGCUAGGUGUAGGGGUCUUCCACGACUUCUGUGCCGUAGCUAACGCAUUAAGCGCCCCGCCUGGGGAGUACGGCCGCAAGGCUAAAACUCAAAUGAAUUGACGGGG